rnacentral:rRNA from 1 species
UACGGGGGGAGCAAGCGUUGUUCGGAUUUACUGGGCGUACAGGGCGCGUAGGCGGCCACCGCAAGUCGACUGUGAAAUCUCCGGGCUUAACCCGGAAAGGUCAGCCGAUACUGCGGGGCUAGAGUGCAGAAGGGGCAACUGGAAUUCUCGGUGUAGCGGUGAAAUGCGUAGAUAUCGAGAGGAACACCUGCGGCGAAGGCGGGUUGCUGGGCUGACACUGACGCUGAGGCGCGAAAGCUAGGGGAGCGAACGGG